CUAUCUGAUCUCUAUUCGCUAACUCGCUAAGGGCCGCCUGUAACAGAGAGAGAAUAAUGGAAAACGUGUGUCUCUACGGUUGAUAUCUUCAGCCCUUCACACUUCACAAGUUCACAACCUCACCUCUACGAUUCGAUCGAUCGACGAGACGAGACGACGCAUAAGCUUGCCUUCACAGUUCGUCCUCUCCCCUAAAAAGUUAAAACCC
rnacentral:lncRNA from 1 species